rnacentral:lncRNA from 1 species
UGUUUCAGGUGAAAGGACAUCCCCAUGUAGUGGCUUCCGUCAUUAGUACUGUAUAUCGACACCUCACAGAUUCUAUUGAAAAACUCCCAGUGUGUCAUAGGUUAUUGGAUGGUAGGAUAUGGUGUGUGUGCAUGAAGAGAUGAUACUCAGGUUUGUUUCAUGAUGUUCUGAACUUCUGUCUCCAUAAUUUAUGUUCUCUAUGAUUGUAGAUGUAUCUAUGGUAGAUAUUAUUACAUGUUAGGUAAACUUCUGCCCUCUAGGGAGUUAGAUAAUUUAACUUCGGGUUCUUUACGAAUUAUGUUGCUUACAUUUAUUAUUUAUAGGGAGUUGUUAGAUAAUUUAACCUCUGGUUCUUUACAGAAUUAUGUUACUUACAUUUAUUAUUUAUAGGGAGUUGUUAGAUAAUUUAACCUCUGGUUCUUUACAGAAUUAUGUUACUUACAUUUAUUAUUUAUAGGGAGUUGUUAGAUAAUUUAACCUCUGGUUCUUUACGAAUUAUGUUGCUUACAUUUAUUAUUUAUAAGGAGUUGUUAGAUAAUUUAACCUCUGGUUCUUUACAGAAUUAUGUUGUUUACAUUUAUUAUUCAUAGGGAGUUGUUAGAAUAAAAACUAAAAUAUUGUACAUGUACAACAGAAGAUAAAAAACAAAUUGGUUUUAAAACGAGGAAUUAUCUCCAGAAAGAUUCUGGUCAUCUUUCCAUUGCAACAGUACUGUUGAACAUAAGUUAUUUGAACCAUUUCAUAAAUACAAAAUACCCUCAACUUAGUGAUAAGUGUACAAGAUUUGCUGAAGCUGUAAGCAAGCAACUCAAUAAAUCAAACUUGAUUCCUACCAUAAAAUUAAGUUUUGUGUAGAAAACAUUUGGAUUAUCUAAAUUUGCUGCUCAGUGUUUCAUGGUAGUAUUAUCAUGUACACCAUGGUAAAAAUACCUAAACUUAAGAUUUAGGUAUUAUAUGGUUAACUUGAAAAGACAACUGAUGUUUAUAUUAGCUAAACUGGUUUUUGAUAUCGGCCAUGAUUAUUUAAGUUUUUGCUGCAUAACCAGGAGAUAUGAAUGCCCACAAAACUUUUGGUAACCAAAAGUUAAAAAAGCUAGUAAUAAAAUUUUCAAAUCUUUCAGCUGUCCUCUAGCAUCUCAUUCUAACAAUAAUAAAUUGUUGGGUUACAAUACAGUAAAACAAGUUUUAUUGUGAAGGAUCUUCUCAUAGCUUUGCAUUAACUGUUUGUCCGUGUGCACUGUUAUUUUCUUUAAAAUACUUUUCUAUUUGCAUAAAUAAUAUGGCUGACGAUAUUUCAAAUCAUUUGGAAGAUUUGUGUCCAUAAAGUUAGGACAUUAUUUUUUAUAUAGUAGUCCUGUUUAUCUCUUGGUUAUUUAAAUAUUUACAGCAACCUAGCAUGAUGAAACUGAAUAGCACAGACCGUUAGAAUAAACUGUGGGGAUGUUUGGACAAUAAGGUAUUUUUUGCUUAUAAAUUCUAGUGCCAAACUUUUAAUGGAAAAGUAUAAAAUUGGUUGUAUAAUUGUGGCUAGUUGUUAUUUCUAAUCAGUUUUGUUGCCUCCAGUCAACAUUUGUGGUAAACAUUGUUACAUUUCUAUUGGUGCUUUCUACAUUUUACUAAUUUCAUACCUGUUUGAAAGUUUUAUCAAUUUAGUAUGAUUGAAGUUGAACUUAUAAUACUAUCACAGUGAACACCAUCAAUGUUACUUUCUAUUAGCUUAAAAUGAUUUGGUGAAUUUUCUUUUUUUUUAUAUAGAUUAAAACUAUUUUGAAAUGUGCUAGAUCAAUAUUUUUACACAAGUUUUUCAAAAUUAUUGUGAUUAAAGUUUAUUUUUUCUUAAAGGUAACUAUUCGUGGAAGUUAUGCAAAUAAUGAUACUGUUAUUAGCUAUAUUUUUUAAUGUUGUAAUUUAGACGUUAACUAGAGGGUGCAUAAUUAGAUUGAAAAGUUUAAAUGUAGGCCUAGAGAGCUCUAAAAUUUUUGAAGUUUGGGUUUCUAAGUAAAUUCAAAAAGUAGAUUAUAAAUACAGGGUUCUGUGAAGCAUCACAAAGAUAGUUGUUUCUAAUCAGUUUCUUUCGGUUAGCAGUGAAUUAGUAUUUAAUUUUUAGUUACUUGAUUGAUCAGCCAUUAAGUUUUAUAAAAUAAGUUUAUUUUGUAGUUAGUCUAGUGCAGUUAGUACCACUGUCUUUGAGCUUUUAGAAAAUGUUAAGGAAGAAAUAAAAUUAUUUUUACAUGGA